UUACUUCGUAAACUACACAUUUUAGAAAGUAUUCUAGUAUUAUACAGAUUAGAAUCACACAAACUAUAAUAUACCCAAAAAAUCGCAAACUGGUAUCAUUAUCGUCAUGUUGACGUUUAUAUUUUGAACUAUUGCACCUUUCCACAAAACAAUAACGACCCAUUUUUUAAUUGUAUAAAAUAAAUAAACUGAUGAGGACUCCGGCUGUUGAUCGUUUUCGAUCAUGCUUUGUAUUGUGUGACGCAUGUGACGUCAUGAUAUUUUAGUUCUUGGGUAAGGGCCAUGGUGGCGUUGUUCAUUACACUCUUAUUUCACUACUAGCAGUCCAUGUUUCUAUAGUCAAAUAGCGUUUUUGAUUAUACAGGGUUUGAACGACCCAAGGUUGGUUAAUCGUAAUUCCCUAGAAACACAUGUUCGAGCUAAAAUAGGUUCUGAUUUAAAUUGGGUUCUAGUUACAUACAUUAUAUAGCGUAAUUCUAAAAAAUGUCGCAUUAAAAGCAACUUGUGGCUCUUAUGGAAUUUUUAUUUUCAUCUGAUAGUGAUGAUGAUGUUGAAUUAGAAAUAAAAGCAAGAACAAUAUAAAAAAUAAAACAAAAGCGACGUAUGCAUCGUGUACAAAACUUUACAAAAAUAGUUGAUAAAUAUGAUGAUAAUGAAUUUAAAAAUCAUUUUCGUGUUUCACGUAAAACUUGUAAUUUACUCAUUAAUAUGUUU